GAUGAACGCUGGCGGCGUGCCUAAUACAUGCAAGUCGAACGCUGAAGGAGGAGCUUGCUCUUCUGGAUGAGUUGCGAACGGGUGAGUAACGCGUAGGUAACCUGCCUGGUAGCGGGGGAUAACUAUUGGAAACGAUAGCUAAUACCGCAUGACAACAGUUAUUGCAUGAUAACUGUUUAAAAGGGGCAACUGCUCCACUACCAGAUGGACCUGCGUUGUAUUAGCUAGUUGGUGAGGUAACGGCUCACCAAGGCGACGAUACAUAGCCGACCUGAGAGGGUGAUCGGCCACACUGGGACUGAGACACGGCCCAGACUCCUACGGGAGGCAGCAGUAGGGAAUCUUCGGCAAUGGACGGAAGUCUGACCGAGCAACGCCGCGUGAGUGAAGAAGGUUUUCGGAUCGUAAAGCUCUGUUGUAAGAGAAGAACGAGUGUGAGAGUGAAAGUUCACACUGUGACGGUAGCUUACCAGAAAGGGACGGCUAACUACGUG
rnacentral:rRNA from 1 species